rnacentral:rRNA from 1 species
UACGUAGGGGGCGAGCGUUGUCCGAAGUUACUGGGCGUAAAGCGCGCGUAGGCGGCUAAUUAAGUCUGAGGUGAAAGGUUCAACGCUCAACGUGAACAGUGCCUUGGAUACUGGUUGGCUUGAAUGUGGCAGAGGAGCAUGGAAUUCCUGGUGUAGCGGUGAAAUGCGUAGAUAUCAGGAGGAAUACCAAUGGCGAAGGCAGUGCUCUGGGCUAACAUUGACGCUGAGGUGCGAAAGCGUGGGGAGCAAACGGG